rnacentral:lncRNA from 1 species
CUCUGCCUGGGGGGUUAGUCGUGGAGAGCAUUAAUCAUGCAUAAGAAACCAGCCAUUUUCUCCCUCCUCUCCACCAAGCUUGAGUGAAGUUUUAAAAGGUCUGAUGUUGGCUUCCCCCACCCACACUGGUCUUAUUCUUCUUAUUCUCGUCCCACCCUGAGGCAGAGAACAGGUAUAUAACGUUUGAUUGUUUGCAAAGCCAAUCCAUGUGCAUUUUUAAAAGUGUGAUGGCAUGGAGGAGCCUGGGAGCAUGGGGAUCCAGAAAACACAAGGUCACCAGCAAAGUCCCAGGUGGAAUCGGAUGGAACGGCAGCUAACCAUCCGCCUCCAAGGGCUCUCUUCACUCCUCCCCAAAGAACGUGCCUCUUGCCCUGCGGCAGCCACCCACCAUCCCUUGCGGACAGUUCAUUUGGUUCUGGGGGCUCCCUUGAGAUGAGCACUGCGUCCUUCUAAUCGCCAGGAGAAGCGUCUUCCUCGCCCUGGAGAACAGACCGGUUGGGCGUCUCCAUUUGAUCUCUUCUCUGCCGGAGUUCCCGAAUAAAGGCUCGGUUGGUUUUCUCA